rnacentral:rRNA from 1 species
GAUGAACGCUGGCGGCGUGCCUAAUACAUGCAAGUCGAACGCUUUGUAUUUAAUUGAUCUGACGAGCUUGCUCUGAUGUGAUUUUCUUGACAAAGAGUGGCGAACGGGUGAGUAACACGUGGGUAACCUACCUCUUAGCAGGGGAUAACAUUUGGAAACAAGUGCUAAUACCGUAUAACACUAACAACCGCAUGGUUGUUAGUUGAAAGAUGGUUCUGCUAUCACUAAGAGAUGGACCCGCGGUGCAUUAGCUAGUUGGUAAGGUAAUGGCUUACCAAGGCGAUGAUGCGUAGCCGAGUUGAGAGACUGAUCGGCCACAAUGGGACUGAGACACGGCCCAUACUCCUACGGGAGGCAGCAGUAGGGAAUCUUCCACAAUGGGCGCAAGCCUGAUGGAGCAACGCCGCGUGUGUGAUGAAGGGUUUCGGCUCGUAAAACACUGUUAUAAGAGAAGAACGACAUUGAGAGUAACUGUUCAGUGUGUGACGGUAUCUUAUCAGAAAGGAACGGCUAAAUACGUGCCAGCCGCCGCCGUAACAC